AACGAACGCUGGCGGCAGGCCUAACACAUGCAAGUCGAACGGUUGUAGCAAUACAGCAGUGGCGCACGGGUGAGUAACGCGUGGGAACGUGCCCUUCAGUACGGAAUAACAGUUGGAGACGACUGCUAAUACCGUAUAUUCCCUCCGGGGGAAAGAUUUAUCGCUGAAGGAACGGCCCGCGUAAGAUUAGGUAGUUGGUGGGGUAAUGGCCUACCAAGCCUACGAUCUUUAGCUGGUCUGAGAGGAUGAUCAGCCACACUGGAACUGAGACACGGUCCAGACUACUACGGGAGGGAGCGGUGGGGAAGUUUGGACAAUGGGCGAAUGCCUGAUCCAGCCAUGCCGCGUGAGUGAUAAGGCCUUAGGGUUGUAAAGCUCUUUCGCUGAUGAAGAUAAUGACGCUAGUCGGAGAAGAAGCCCCGGCUACCCUCGUGCCAGCCGCCGCCGUAA
rnacentral:rRNA from 1 species